AGGGACAGAGUUCCAUAAUUAAAUAUAUUAACCCUCCCUGGGCCUGGGGAAAUUUUCUUUUCUUUCUUUUUUCUUUUUUUUUUGGCAGUAUGAUCCAGAGGUGCCAUUCCAGGUGAGAAGAAGCAAGGCAGAUGGCUAGAUGGCUGGUGCAGAUGAUUGGAUGGAAUGAAACAUCAAAGUAGGUCAAGAGUAAGUGCCAUCUUCUGUGGUCACAGGAAAAAGCUAAGCUUGCCUCAGAGCUACAGAGACCCAAAGGUGAGAAAUCUGAGGCCCCUUUAUGGGAUUCUGAAGCUUCUACUCUGGGACCCCACCAUCUGCAUGCCUCAGAAGUCAGAAGAAGGGUCAAGAUCAAGACUAGGGGUUGCUGAAGUUUGAAGAAACUUUCACAUUGUCUAGUAACACCUCAUCCAUCUCAGCCUUGUCUAUUUUGUUGUUUUUCUUUGAGUUUCCCAUAAGAAUUUCUCUAAGAAAAUUCUCACCUUAAAUUUGCUGAACCAAGCAGAAGUGAACAACCUCCAGAGGGCUGGUGGCAGGGGCUAUCCCAGCUGCAGGAACGGAAUGAGUGGAAUUGAAAUAAGCACUUGGAGCCUGUGGCACAGAACUGGGAACUUCAUGGAUUGUCUACAGGUCUGUUUUCUUCAUUUUGUCCUGCGUGCUCAUCUUGUCUGCUCCAAUAAAAUUAUAGGUUUCACAGUGUCCCA
rnacentral:lncRNA from 1 species